rnacentral:rRNA from 1 species
AAAGGAAUAGACGGGGGCCCGCACAAGCGGAGGAGCAUGUGGUUUAAUUCGAUGAUACGCGAGGAACCUUACCUGGGCUCGAACGGUACAUGAAUUAAAUGCGAAAACGUUUAAGACCUUCGGGACAUGUAUCGAGGUGCUGCAUGGUUGUCGUCAGCUCGUGCCGUGAGGUGUCAGGUUAAGUCCUAUAACGAGCGCAACCCCUAUAUUUAGUUACCAGCAUUUCGGAUGGGGACUCUAGAUAUACUGCCUACGCAAGUAGAGAGGAAGGUGGGGAUGACGUCAAAUCAGCACGGCCCUUACGUCCAGGGCUACACACGUGCUACAAUGGUCAAAACAGAGGGCAGCUACACAGUGAUGUGAUGCUAAUCCAUAAAAAUUGAUCUCAGUUCGGAUCGAAGUCUGCAACUCGACUUCGUGAAGUUGGAUUCGCUAGUAAUCGCAUAUCAGCCAUGAUGCGGUGAAUACGUUCCCGGGCCUUGUACACACCGCCCGU